UACGGGGGGAGCAAGCGUUGUUCGGAUUUACUGGGCGUAAAGGGCGCGUAGGCGGCCACCGCAAGUCGACUGUGAAAUCUCCGGGCUUAACCCGGAAAGGUCAACUGAUACUGCGCGGCUAGAGUGCAGAAGGGGCAACUGGAAUUCUCGGUGUAGCGGUGAAAUGCGUAGAUAUCGAGAGGAACACCUGCGGCGAAGGCGGGUUGCUGGGCUGACACUGACGCUGAGGCGCGAAAGCUAGGGGAGCGAACGGG
rnacentral:rRNA from 1 species